AUGUUCACUUUGGCAGUAUAUAUAUGCAACUGAGGACAAUACAGAGAUUACCAUGCCCCUGAACAAAGAUGACACACAAAUUCUUGAAGCAUUCCAUAUUUUU